rnacentral:rRNA from 1 species
GUGGGGAAUAUUCCGCAAUGGACGAAAGUCUGACGGAGCAACGCCGCGUGAGUGAUGAAGGUUUUCGGACUGUAAAGCUCUGUUGUUUAGGACGAAAGUGCCUGUUGCAAAUAGUUACAGGUAUUGACGGUACUGAACGAGGAAGCCACGGCUAACUACGUGCCAGCAGCCGCGGUAAUACGUAGGUGGCAAGCGUUGUCCGGAAUUAUUGGGCGUAAAGAGCAUGUAGGCGGGAAUCUAAGUCUGUUGUGAAAAUGCGGGGCUCAACCCCGUAUUGCGAUGGAAACUGGGUUUCUUGAGUGCAGGAGAGGAAAGGGGAAUUCCCAGUGUAGCGGUGAAAUGCGUAGAUAUCGGGAGGAACACCAGUGGCGAAGGCGGCUUCCUGGCACAAUACUGACGCUCAUGUGCGAAAGCUAGGGCAGCGAACGGGAUUAGAAACCCCGGUAGUCC